AUAAGAUUGUACUGAAUAGAAAGUUUUUCUCAGUGUGCCAUCUGUUUUUCAGCUGCACCUGUGUGACAGGUUGUUAUAUCACCUGAGUGUUAGGUUGGAAAUUCUACACAAACUUUCCUGAAGAGCAGAGAGGGAGACAUAGACUUCACCAGAAGAAACUGUCCUAGGCAGUCCCUGCCCUCCUGCUAUGCCAGUAAGUCUCCAGAAGCCCAGGAGAUACCCAGGAGGUUGUCUGUAGAACACCAUAGAAAUAGUGGAGUGUGUUGGAGAGAACCAUGCUGAACAGCUAAUACCCCAGUGAAUCCACAAGGACUUAGAGUGACUUGACAUGUCAGUGGAAGCUGUCAAACUCCUAUCAAAAGGACAGAUCUCUGUGGGAUUUGUAUUCCUCAUGCCUGCCUUGCAGCCCUACCGAUGGGUCACUUCACUGGAAGGUCUUAUCUAGAGGAGGGGCAUGGUCCAGGCUGGAGCUGGCUCAGAGUGCUUGCAUCAUGGCUCUGCCAGCUGCUGACACACACUGAUAAUAGACUUCUUGUCAAGCAGCAGCUGUUAGAGAGAGAGAUCAGGACUAAUCAAGUGAUCACUCACAGGAGGCGUACAUCAGGAAAAAGCAGGAAGGAGAGAAGAAAGGAAGAAUAAAGUUAAAAGGAAAAAAACAAAUUGUAGUUCUUCUUUACUGCACCUAGUCAGGUAGUAGCAACCAAGUGGUUC
rnacentral:lncRNA from 1 species